GAAUUUUGGACAAUGGGCGACAGCCUGAUCCAGCAAUGCCGCGUGCAGGAUGAAGGCCUUCGGGUUGUAAACUGCUUUUGUACGGAACGAAAAGCUUUUGGUUAAUACCCUGGAGUCAUGACGGUACCGUAAGAAUAAGCACCUGCUAACGCCUUGCCACCAGACGCGGUAAUACGUAGGGUGCAAGAGGUAAUCGGAAUUACUGGGCGUAAAGCGUGCGCAGGCGGUUUUGUAAGACAGAGGUGAAAUCCCCGGGCUCAACCUGGGAACUGCCUUUGUGACUGCAAGGAUAGAGUACGGCAGAGGGGGGUGGAAUUCCGCGUGUAGCAGUGAAAUGCGUAGAUAUGCGGAGGAACACCGAUGGCGAAGGCAACCCCCUGGGCCUGUACUGACGCUCAUGCACGAAAGCGUGGGGAGCAAACAGG
rnacentral:rRNA from 1 species